ensembl:lncRNA
GGGAAAGCAAGAGACAGGGACGAGAGAGAUUAGUGGGAAAGAGAUGACAGACAGAGGGAGCCAAAGGGACAGGUCAAAAUAGAUGCAGAAAAUCAAGGAGGAAGAAAGAAAGAGGGAGAAGGAGGGAGAAGGAACAGGGGCAGGAGCAGAAUCAUAACACACAGACAAUUUUCCUGCCCGUUGACUUGUUUUAACCAGUUUUCUGCCUUCGGCUGAUUCUACCAGCAGACACUGAAAGGACUCUGAUAGUUUGAGUGAAAGUAGCAGUUGCUCCUUAAGGUCAGAGAUUGCAGCAUCUGAGGGCCUCUUCAAAAGAAGACUUAGUUGAUGAAGGCGUUCUGGAGCAGGACCAGAAAGACCACGACUAAGCACCCUUGAGAUCUCAGGCAGCGUCUCGCUCAGACCAAAGAACUACAGACUCUUCACAACCUGCUCAAACUCUUGGUACAGGACCUCACCACACGGGUCAAGAAGGUUUCUGUC